CCUCGAAAAACGUAAUUACACGCAUUUUUACUUCCGGUUGUGUAAAGUGUGUUAUCUUGGACGAACUGCGCGCGUGUGUAAGUUUUUCAGGUGGCAAGGUCACGUGGAAGAGAAUAGAGAUGAAUAAGGAAAUGCGAAAUCGCGCUGCUCCAUGAUAUGGUCUCAUCACUUGUAAGUUGUUUGCGUUUGGUAUAAGCAUUUAAAUCACAUUGAAUCACGUUGAAACUGGUGAUGAAAGAUAUUAAUGUAAAUUGUGUUAAGUCACAUGGGAUACAUAUCUCUAUCGCCGCCAUUGCGCGUUCUUGGAACGAGCGCGACGGUGACAUUGCGGUGUGCGGCCUCUCGGACGAGAAGACUGGGCUUACGUUGGAUGCAAGUUAUUGUCGUCCGGCAAGGUUUUAAAAAGUGAUGUUAUAGCUACUGGAUAUUGAAGCGAUUGAAGACCAGAAAGCCUUAGUGCGACCGGCUUGAUUCAGGUGGCCUAUAUGUAUACCAUUGGGAGAGUUAAAGAAGUUUAGUCCUCUAAAAGAAGUCCUCCGGAAAGUUUACUGCAACAAAGAUUACUCCCCGAGAGCGACACUCGUUAAGGAUGCGAGUGUUUGAAGUUCCGCUUUCAAGCAUUGGACGGCCUGCAAAUUACCAUUGGAGCCAAACUGUAUACAUUUUCUAGAUGAUCUUAAAUACGGAGCGGUAUUCUAAAGAUGUAGUUGUGCAGUGUGUAGUUCGUAGAUUACGAAACAACGGAGCGAGAAUACAGUUGGCGUUCCGUUUUGGGUCAGUUAUUUUGUUUUCCUUUUUCCAUGUUUUAAAGUCGCUGUGCUUUAUGCUCAGGAUCGAAGCAAAAUGUACAGGAGUAGGCUGCGAUGUGAUGCGUGUUGUAUAAAACCAAUAAACCAAAAAUGGCA
rnacentral:lncRNA from 1 species